rnacentral:rRNA from 1 species
ACGCUGGCGGCGUGCCUAAUACAUGCAAGUCGAGCGAACGGACGAGAAGCUUGCUUCUCUGAUGUUAGCGGCGGACGGGUGAGUAACACGUGGAUAACCUACCUAUAAGACUGGGAUAACUUCAGGAAACCGGAGCUAAUACCGGAUAAUAUUUUGAACCGCAUGGUUCAAAAGUGAAAGACGGUCUUGCUGUCACUUAUAGAUGGAUCCGCGCUGCAUUAGCUAGUUGGUAAGGUAACGGCUUACCAAGGCAACGAUGCAUAGCCGACCUGAGAGGGUGAUCGGCCACACUGGAACUGAGACACGGUCCAGACUCCUACGGGAGGCAGCAGUAGGGAAUCUUCCGCAAUGGGCGAAAGCCUGACGGAGCAACGCCGCGUGAGUGAUGAAGGUCUUCGGAUCGUAAAACUCUGUUAUUAGGGAAGAACAUAUGUGUAAGUAACUGUGCACAUCUUGACGGUACCUAAUCAGAAAGCCACGGCUAACUACGUGCCAGCAGCCGCGGUAAUACGUAGGUGGCAAGCGUUAUCCGGAAUUAUUGGGCGUAAAGCGCGCGUAGGCGGUUUUUUAAGUCUGAUGUGAAAGCCCACGGCUCAACCGUGGAGGGUCAUUGGAAACUGGAAAACUUGAGUGCAGAAGAGGAAAGUGGAAUUCCAUGUGUAGCGGUGAAAUGCGCAGAGAUAUGGAGGAACACCAGUGGCGAAGGCGACUUUCUGGUCUGUAACUGACGCUGAUGUGCGAAAGCGUGGGGAUCAAACAGGAUUAGAUACCCUGGUAGUCCACGCCGUAAACGAUGAGUGCUAAGUGUUAGGGGGUUUCCGCCCCUUAGUGCUGCAGCUAACGCAUUAAGCACUCCGCCUGGGGAGUACGACCGCAAGGUUGAAACUCAAAGGAAUUGACGGGGACCCGCACAAGCGGUGGAGCAUGUGGUUUAAUUCGAAGCAACGCGAAGAACCUUACCAAAUCUUGACAUCCUUUGACAACUCUAGAGAUAGAGCCUUCCCCUUCGGGGGACAAAGUGACAGGUGGUGCAUGGUUGUCGUCAGCUCGUGUCGUGAGAUGUUGGGUUAAGUCCCGCAACGAGCGCAACCCUUAAGCUUAGUUGCCAUCAUUAAGUUGGGCACUCUAAGUUGACUGCCGGUGACAAACCGGAGGAAGGUGGGGAUGACGUCAAAUCAUCAUGCCCCUUAUGAUUUGGGCUACACACGUGCUACAAUGGACAAUACAAAGGGCAGCGAGACCGCGAGGUCAAGCAAAUCCCAUAAAGUUGUUCUCAGUUCGGAUUGUAGUCUGCAACUCGACUACAUGAAGCUGGAAUCGCUAGUAAUCGUAGAUCAGCAUGCUACGGUGAAUACGUUCCCGGGUCU